UCAUCCAAAUGAAGCAGGACAGAAUGGAGUGAAGAGGAGCAGAAGCCAGCAGAAGCUGAUUGAAGACGGAGUGCUUGUGUUACUGUUUGAGACUCAAGAGCUGAAAAACAGCAGAGCUGCACUCAUGUCAGUGUGGGACUAUGACAAUCAUCUCCUCUGAGGACUUGGAUGAUGAAAUGUCUGGCCUAGAUCUACAAAUCACCCAGAUGUGCCAUUCCAGGCUGGGACAAAAAGGAUGUUAAGCUCACCUGAAGACAAGGGGACAGAUCUCUGAUGGAGCACUACUGCAUUCAGCCAAGCUUUAAUAAAUGGUCUUUUGAUAUUUAUCAUCAAACCCGCAACCGGGAAAUCCAUCACGUCUUGCUCAGACUUCAGUCGCACAUGUCUCCCUCCACCACGUCAAAACCCUCUACCCGAUUCUGUCCUUUACUGUGAGGUCACUGACUCCUGUCACUUCCUCCUCUUCUUCUCGUUGAAACCUCUGAUAUGCUCUUAAUUGACUCCAGUCCAUCAUAGAGGUGGGUGGACAUAGUUGUGCAAAAUAUCACAGGAGGUAAUUGACAAACGCAGACUGGAUGACCUCCUGCGGUGAAAAAAAAUGAAAGGGGUUACAGAUGUAUUUGCAGAGGGACUUGUGGCGGUCAGUGGCGGUGAACUCUUUAGCUAAUGGUGGAUGGUGUCCAACAUCAGUCACAAGUUUUGAAGUUUUAAAAUGGGAUAGUUCCAUUCCUGACUGGUCAAUACAGAAUUCCUGCUGUGCUAAAAUAAAUUAUAGUUAGAAAAACUAUUAACCUUAGCUUACAUGUCAGAGACACUUGAUUUAAUAACAAUGUAAAGUAAUUUGCGUUCCAGUACAAAUGUCUAAACAUUCAUAA